AUUGAACGCUGGCGGCAGGCCUAACACAUGCAAGUCGAACGAGUGGCGGACGGGUGAGUAAUGUCUGGGAAACUGCCUGAUGGCGGGGGAUAACUACUGGAAACGGUAGCUAAUACCGCAUACCAUCGGAUGUGCCCAGAUGGGAUUAGCUAGUAGGUGGGGUAAAGGCUCACCUAGGCGACGAUCCCUAGCUGGUCUGAGAGGAUGACUAGCCACACUGGAACUGAGACACGGUCCAGACGCCUACGGGAGGCAGCAGUGGGGAAUAUUGAACAAUGGGCGAAAGGCUGAGCCAGGCAGGCCGGGUGUAUGAAGAAGGCCUUCGGGUGGUAAAGUACGUGCGGCGGAGAGGCGGUACCCGCAGAAGUAGCACCGGCUAACUACGGGCCAGCCGCCGCGGUAAUAC
rnacentral:rRNA from 1 species